GGUGGAUCAGUGGCGAACGGGUGAGUAACACGUGGGCAAUCUGCCCUGCACUCUGGGACAAGCCCUGGAAACGGGGUCUAAUACCGGAUAUGACCUGGGACCGCAUGGUCCCGGGUGUAAAGCUCCGGCGGUGCAGGAUGAGCCCGCGGCCUAUCAGCUUGUUGGUGGGGUAAUGGCCUACCAAGGCGACGACGGGUAGCCGGCCUGAGAGGGCGACCGGCCACACUGGGACUGAGACACGGCCCAGACUCCUACGGGAGGCAGCAGUGGGGAAUAUUGCACAAUGGGCGAAAGCCUGAUGCAGCGACGCCGCGUGAGGGAUGACGGCCUUCGGGUUGUAAACCUCUUUCAGCAGGGAAGAAGCGCAAGUGACGGUACCUGCAGAAGAAGCACCGGCUAACUACGUGCCAGCAGCCGCGGUAAUACGUAGGGUGCGAGCGUUGUCCGGAAUUAUUGGGCGUAAAGAGCUCGUAGGCGGCCUGUCGCGUCGGAUGUGAAAGCCCGGGGCUCAACCCCGGGUCUGCAUUCGAUACGGGCAGGCUAGAGUGUGGUAGGGGAGAUCGGAAUUCCUGGUGUAGCGGUGAAAUGCGCAGAUAUCAGGAGGAACACCGGUGGCGAAGGCGGAUCUCUGGGCCAUUACUGACGCUGAGGAGCGAAAGCGUGGGGAGCGAACAGGAUUAGAUACCCUGGUAGUCCACGCCGUAAACGUUGGGAACUAGGUGUUGGCGACAUUCCACGUCGUCGGUGCCGC
rnacentral:rRNA from 1 species